GUGUAUUAAACAUAUAGGACAGUCUGUGAUUUAGCUUGGCCCACUUUAUUGUCUUUACCACUGUGCCUGUCCACACAUUGGCUCUUUUUCUAAACGUUCUGGUCCAAAACUGCCUCAGAGAUCUGUAUAGUUGACAUGUUAGCAGGUACUUUGAUUUAAAAAUUGAUAAAAGGCUGUUUGUUUUAUUAUGUAAGGUAUCAUGUCCUUAUGUUCUAAUGUCGAAUCACCCCUGUCAUCAUUGUCUAAGUGGACCGUAUAUGAACAGGCAAUGCACUGACAGCUCCUGGAAACAAAAACUCAUUGCCUAGAAUUAAAGCUGGUAGCACCUGUUCUGUACAACAGCAAAGCAGCAGAGUGGGAAACCCUGAUCAGGACCAGUUGAUUGCAAAGUAGUGAGUGAGCUGUGUCUACAUGGAUCAGGAACACGGAGAGAGAGAUCGACAUACACGCACACACGCACGCACGCACAGAUGUUCUGAAGAGUGGAGAGGAGAAGGCUUUGUGUCCGGAGCGGUAAAAUGCGCGGCUGUUGUGAACAGCCAGGCGCGCAAUCAGUCCCAACUCUACGCUUCAUGGCACUUCACCGGUGUUAGAGCCUGAGUCACAUUUCAGUUUGUUUGAAAAAUUCUACUGCAAAUAAAAAGCGGUUUACACUCUUUAAGCAGCAACUGCAAAUCCCAUUCAUUUUGUUUUCUCUUAAUGUUAACAUAGCUUACUACGUACUUUAGCUAGAUAGAAUAUAGAAGUCAUUAACAUUGAUCUAGGCCUUCCCCCUAGAUCAAAACCUUUAAAUCAUUAGUCACCCCUCAAUCGACUGAGAUUCUUCAAGUCGUUUUUUUUUUGUCAGUCAGUGUGCAGCUACUUAUGUGCAAAGUUAGCGCUCCUCGCUGUAACGCUACUCUCCGGGGUAAAAUCGGGGUUGAAGAUGUCACCGAUGGAUACAGGCAGCUGGUGAGCCUGACUGACAGCUGCCGGCAGGAAGAGAGCCUUUGCCUGGUCAGGCUCCAAGAUGAUGUUAUAUUCUGCCUUCUGCUUAGUAGUGAAUUUACAGCUCACAGCAACUUAAUACGAUAUAGUAUCUGACUUUUGUUUGAUAUCUAGUUUUUGCAAAAAUGUUGUGGCAUAGCUGGCAUAGUGUAAGCUAUUUUAUUGCAUUUCUCUUCACGAAAUGCUCGGAGUGAAUUUAAGUUGGGCUUUUCUUGGUUCACACUGGUUCAGAUUACGGAGAAUGCGUGUUUUUAUUUUAUUACACUUACCUUGGCUACAGUAGUUAGGGCUAUCUUGGCUUUGUGGUUGUUUUCUGCCUACCUGGGUUUGUGUAUUCAAUUUAUGAAUCAAAUAUUUUCUUCUGGCUCAGUAUGGCUUAUCAUCUUAUUGUCUAUGGCGCUGAGCUAAUCCAGCAGACACUGAGACAGAACACAAGUGAAUAUAGGAUAAAAGGGCUCAGCUCCAAACAUGUUGUGUGUUCCACUUAUCUAACUGGCCUGGGAGAGGAGGAGGAGGAGGAGGAGGAGGAGGAGGAGAAGAAGAUGAAGAGCAGGGGAGGAUGGAGGCAGGAGAAGAGUGGAUUUGUUGUCUUAUUGUUCUGGAGGAGGCUAAAGCACACCCAGGGAAAAGCUGAAUGGCUCUUACGUACACAUGUAGAGCAUGGCACAGCAGUGGGGAAAUGGGCCAUGAACACUGAUGUGAGAAUAGGCCAUUCUUAGCAUGAGCCAAAUCUGCAACCUUUUUAAAAAAACAACAAAAAAAAACCCACUUAUUUCUCCUCUU